rnacentral:siRNA from 1 species
GGGAUAGGGGUAGUUUCGUCCA